UACAGAGGUCUCAAGCGUUGUUCGGAUUCAUUGGGCGUAAAGGGUGCGUAGGCGGCGCGGUAAGUCGGGUGUGAAAUCUCAGGGCUCAACCCUGAAACUGCAUUCGAUACUGCGUGGCUAGAGUGCUGGAGAGGAGACUGGAAUUUACGGUGUAGCAGUGAAAUGCGUAGAUAUCGUAAGGAAGACCAGUGGCGAAGGCGAGUCUCUGGACAGCAACUGACGCUGAGGCACGAAGGCCAGGGGAGCAAACGGG
rnacentral:rRNA from 1 species